CGCGUAGGUGGUUUUUUAAGUCGGAUGUGAAAUCCCCGGGCUUAACCUGGGAACUGCACCCGAUACUGGACGACUAGAGUGCGAGAGAGGGAGGUAGAAUUCCACGUGUAGCGGUGAAAUGCGUAGAUAUGUGGAGGAAUACCGGUGGCGAAGGCGGCCUCCUGGCUCGACACUGACGCUGAGGUACGAAAGCGUGGGGAGCAAACA
rnacentral:rRNA from 1 species